ACACCUCAAACAACACACACCACCACUAGCAAAUAAAUAAAUAGAGAGAGAGAGAGAGAGAGAGAGAGAGAGAGAGAGAGAGAGAGAGAGAGAGAGAGAGAGAGAGAGACAGAGAGAGAGAGAGCGAGAGAGAGAGAGAGAGAGAGAGAGAGAGAGAGAGAGAGAGAGAGAGAGAGAGAGAGAGAAUUUCCAAGAGGGCUAGUACGAUCCAAUAGAUCUUACGAUUAAUUUCGGAAUCAAAGAGGUAAUCAGGAUUAGAGAGACGGGCCGAGUAUUAAUAUUAUUAUGCUGGUGAUAUGGUUAUGUAAUGAAUAAAAGAAGAGUGUAGCCUAUGUUGAUAUUAGCAUAAUGAAUAAAUCACUCUAAGUGAUCGUUGAUUAUUAAAGAAAGCUUCUGUAAAUGUCAUGAUUAUUUCUUUUAAUAAAGAGUUAAUAGAGGCUUUUGGUGA